UGAAAAACAACCAAACAGAAGUGGAAACAGUUAGCUUACGCCAAAUUUCAUGCCUUCGUAGUGGACUUCUGCAAAAUCAAUCAGGAAAAGCAAACCAGAGGGCACGAGUGGGAGCUACUGUACAUGGAAGAGGAUCUGAAACUGAGAUCAGGAAGCAUUUUUUCCAUGCAAAGGUUUGGGAGGGUAUGGAACAAACUCAUAUAAUGUUCAAACUACUCAGCCACAUUAGUGAUGCCAAGCCCCUUGGCUUUCUCCAAAAAACAGCUGAAUGUGAUCCUUGAAUCAAUCAUCUUUUAGCUACCAAACAGGCUAGAUGGACCAUACAGCCUCCUCUCAUUUCUUAUGUAUCUGUUUGUAUGUGUAGGGGAUCUGUUCUUCAGGGGUGGGAUCUUUUGGGAUGAAAAGCGCUAUACCACAGCAAGGAACUAGGGAGGGUUUGUUUUAAAAAUCAUAUUAUACUUUAGUCCUAGUUUAUGAAUUUUAGUAUUAGCAGAAUUAACAUCACAUGAUGAA